UACGUAGGGGGCGAGCGUUGUCCGGAGUUACUGGGCGUAAAGCGCGCGCAGGCGGCAGUCUAAGUCCUCUGUGAAAUCACCCGGCUCAACUGGGUGGCUGCGGAGGAGACUGGGCGGCUUGAGGGGCCUAGAGGCCGGUGGAACUCCCGGUGUAGUGGUGAAAUGCGUAGAGAUCGGGAAGAACACCAGUGGCGAAGGCGGCCGGCUGGGGGCGCCCUGACGCUGAGGCGCGAGAGCGUGGGGAGCAAACCGG
rnacentral:rRNA from 1 species